UGGGGAAUAUUGGACAAUGGGCGCAAGCCUGAUCCAGCAAUGCCGCGUGAGUGAUGAAGGCCUUCGGGUUGUAAAGCUCUUUUGCCGGGGACGAUAAUGACGGUACCCGGAGAAUAAGCACCGGCUAACUUCGUGCCAGCAGCCGCGGUAAUACGAAGGGUGCUAGCGUUGUUCGGAAUUACUGGGCGUAAAGCGUACGUAGGCGGCUAUUCAAGUCAGAGGUGAAAUCCCAGGGCUUAACCCUGGAACUGCCUUUGAGACUGGAUAGCUCGAGUAUGGGAGAGGUGAGUGGAAUUCCAAGUGUAGAGGUGAAAUUCGUAGAUAUUUGGAAGAACACCAGUGGCGAAGGCGGCUCACUGGACCAUUACUGACGCUGAGGUACGAAAGCGUGGGGAGCAAA
rnacentral:rRNA from 1 species